rnacentral:rRNA from 1 species
GACGAACGCUGGCGGCGUGCUUAACACAUGCAAGUCGAACGGAAAGGCCCUGCUUUUGUGGGGUGCUCGAGUGGCGAACGGGUGAGUAACACGUGAGUAACCUGCCCUUGACUUUGGGAUAACUUCAGGAAACUGGGGCUAAUACCGGAUAGGAGCUCCUGCUGCAUGGUGGGGGUUGGAAAGUUUCGGCGGUUGGGGAUGGACUCGCGGCUUAUCAGCUUGUUGGUGGGGUAGUGGCUUACCAAGGCUUUGACGGGUAGCCGGCCUGAGAGGGUGACCGGCCACAGUGGGACUGAGAUACGGCCCAGACUGCUACGGGAGGCAGCAGUGGGGAAUAUUGCACAAUGGGCGGAAGCCUGAGGCAGCAACGCCGCGUGCGGGAUGACGGCCUUCGGGUUGUAAACCGCUUUCGCCUGUGACGAAGCGUGAGUGACGGUAAUGGGUAAAGAAGCACCGGCUAACUACGUG